CAGUAGCGUAUAUUAAAGUUGUUGCAGUUAAAAUGCUCGUAGUUGAAGUUCGGAUGCAGCAGAGCUUGGAAACGCUGUUAUGGUGCUUCCGUUGCUUUUGCUUGUCAACAGUGCGUUGCAAGUACGUAUGUGCUUGUGCGUGCAUUUUACUUUGAGAAACAUAGGGUGUUCCACGCAUGUUACGGCAUGAAUAUUCCAGCAUGGGAUAAUCUGGUACGACUUCCAAUCUGCCAUUUUGGUUCGUAGGUUGGAAGUAAUGAUUAAUAGGGACUGUCGGGGGCAUUGGUAUUUGACUGUCAGAGGUGAAAUUCUUAGAUUCGUUGAGGACCAACCACUGCGAAAGCAUUUGUCAAGGAUGUCUCCAUUAA
rnacentral:rRNA from 1 species